rnacentral:rRNA from 1 species
UAGGGAAUCUUCGGCAAUGGGGGGAACCCUGACCGAGCAACGCCGCGUGAGUGAAGAAGGUUUUCGGAUCGUAAAGCUCUGUUGUUAAGGAAGAACGAGUGUGAGAAUGGAAAGUUCAUACUGUGACGGUACUUAACCAGAAAGGGACGGCUAACUACGUGCCAGCAGCCGCGGUAAUACGUAGGUCCCGAGCGUUGUCCGGAUUUAUUGGGCGUAAAGCGAGCGCAGGCGGUUAGAUAAGUCUGAAGUUAAAGGCAGUGGCUCAACCAUUGUAGGCUUUGGAAGCUGUUUAACUUGAGUGCAGAAGGGGAGAGUGGAAUUCCAUGUGUAGCGGUGAAAUGCGUAGAUAUAUGGAGGAACACCGGUGGCGAAAGCGGCUCUCUGGUCUGUAACAGACGCUGAGGCUCGAAAGCGUGGGGAGCGAACAGG